rnacentral:lncRNA from 1 species
AAAAGACAUAUUUUGCCUAAAUUAUCGAUGACGACCUGAGUAUGUACGCAAUGAAAGUGGCGAUGUCCAGAAUAAUAAAGCUCCUGAGGCUCAACACGUGGCCUGUAAAUUUCCGUUGAGGUAGCACCCACUGCCAUUGGGAGUUUUUCCCAGUUUCCCAUCUUUGCUGUCCAUUCAUUAAGAGAUGGCCAAUGUACCAGAUAAUGAAAAUGUUGGUAAACACGGGAAUGCACCGAUUAAUUUCAUCAUGUAUUGUGGUAACGCUUACGUCAAACAUUAAGGUAAGCAUGUGGUAACACGGAUAUGAUCUUAGCCAAAGCAUGAACAACAUAACUCUAUUUCUCGGGGAAAGUUUGUAUGGCCUGCCAGUGUCAUUCUGGAAAACAUAAUUUCCAAUUUGUCUCA